rnacentral:snRNA from 1 species
GGGUGACAAGGCAGUCUGGUUAUAAUACUUGUCCUGGAACUGAUUGUCAAAAUUAUUUCCGUUGAUCUGGCUGGCUAAGCACGUGUCAUCUUCAUUCCUUAGCCAUCCAUGUUAUUCUUCCCAGAACUAUAUGCUUUGGUUGAAAAUGAUGAUUUUCUACUAUAUAGAAGCAGGAUUCUUAGGUCAAUGAUCAACGUUUCCCUUCUUGAGCCUCCAAGCAAAUGUUCAAGGUCCAUUUGUAGGAGAAUAUAAUGUCAUAAUAUUUG